rnacentral:lncRNA from 1 species
GAUUUGGAUGAGUUUGAUUUCUUUUGCUAUUUCAUUGCUCUAGCUAGGACAGCCAGUAUUGAUUGAAUAGAAGGGGUGAGAGCAUUCUUGCAUCAUGUGAGAUCCUACAGGAAAAGCAUUCCAUUUUCCCUGACUGGUUAUUUCUGCUGUGGUCAUUUCAUGGAUGGUCUUUGUAUUGUUGAGGAUUGAUUUCCAGAGACUUAUGUUACUUGAGGAAGACACCAAGAAGGCAAAGAAAAGGAGCCAGGGAUGGCUCUUCCUCAGGGAUACUUGACUUUCAGAGAUGUGGCUAUAGAGUUCUCUUUGCUGGAGUGGAAACGCCUGGACCCUGCACAGAACGCUUUAUACAGGGCUGUGAUGUGGGAGAACUACAGGAACCUGGAGUCUGUGGGUGAGGAAAAUGUUCCUCCAGACAUGAAGAAUCUGUCCUUGUGUAUCUUGGCUUUUCCUGGUUUUGUAUUCUCUUUUGUGAUUUUGCCCCAUACGUGCUUUUGAUGUACAC